CCAUCCGGGAGAUCCGGCGGCUGCGGCCUGGCUCCAUCGAGACAUGGGAGCAGGAGCAAGCUGUGAUCCAGUUCUGCCAGCGCAUUCACGCCGGAGAGGACAGCGAGGAGGCGUGAGCACGACCAUCUCCCCAGGGCAGUAUGUGCUGAAUGGGUUCAAUGGAGACGGUCGCUCCGAAAUGGUGGGGGGCCUUUCCCAGCCCCAAGGUGCUGCCGUCUGUCCCCUCCCACAUUAAAGGACUCUCCUGUA